AGGCUGGCAACCCCCAAGCCCCUGUUCUGGGAGCACCUCAGCCAGCCGUUCCCCUGCUGACAGUGCUGAGCAGAUGUAACCCCAGCAGAGGGACGGCUGUAUGCCGUUUGGGAUGCUCCUCAGCCUCAAGUCCUGGCUCUGACAAAGGAUGUACUCAGUCUCGCGGCCAAGGCACCCAAGGCCUGGCGGCCGAUGGAAGCAGAGCUGCAAAGAUAGCAGUUGUUGGAGGACGGCAAGUUUCUAGACCUGCUAAACCUGGCUGGUCAGACGUUUGUCCCAAAACACCAUUCCUUGAGGCAGUGGGACUUCUGGAUAUCCCUGUCAGACCUGAAUUCUUCCUUCUCACAGACUCCCCUCCACACACCCACCUGGAUGCUGAUCUCCAGUGUCUGUCUGUUUUGCAUUUCAAUCAUCAGCUUUACAAAGGAUGAUUAUGACAGUGACAAUCCCGACAUUUCCCACACUUGAGCUGCUGUUCCAAGUACUUUAUAAAUUUCACAGCACUGUUAUUAUCCCCAUUCCCAGGUGAGGAUAGCAGGCUUUAGCAAGAUCACAUGAUUUGGCCAAGAUCAUAGUUCAGUUGGUAAAGAAUCCGCCUGCAAUGCAGGAGACCCUGGUUUGAUUUCUGGUCAGAAGAUAUCCUGGAGAAAGAAUAGGCUACCCACUCCAGUAUUCUUGGGCUUCCCUUGUGGCUCAGCUGGUAAAGAAUCCACCUGCAAUGUGGGAGACCUGGGUUCAAUCCCUGGGUUUGGAAGAUCCCCUGGAAAAGGGAAAGGCUACCUAUUCCAGUAUCCUGGCUAGAGAAUUCCAUGGACUGUACAGUCUAUGGGGUCGUAAAGAGUUGGACACGACUUAGUGACUUUCACUUCAUUUCACUUCUUACACUAGUAAGUCUUACAUAGAUCCUGAAUCCAAGCCUAGAGAAGCCUCCAGGGCCCACAUCUAGCCAUGACCCUGUAUUGCCUAUUGAUGACAGAGGGUGAGUUUUUCUUUCUUCCAUCUACUUUAUAAAGCCUUUAUUAAAUUAUAGUUGGUAUACAAUUAACUAUACAAUACAAACUGAUGAGUCCUGACAUAUGUAUACAGCCAUGAAACCAUUGCUAUAAUCAAGAUAAUGAAUAUGUCUAUCACUUCCCGAAGCAUCCUAUGCCCCUUUGUAAUCCAUCCUUCACUCCCCCCACCUUGUUCCUAG
ensembl:lncRNA